rnacentral:misc_RNA from 1 species
GAUGAAGAACGCAGCGAAAUGCGAUACUUGGUGUGAAUUGCAGAAUCCCGUGAACCAUCGAGUCUUUGAACGCAAGUUGUGCCCGAAGCCAUUAGGCCGAGGGCACGCCUGCCUGGGCGUCACACGUCGUUGCCCCCCCCAUCUACUCCUUCGGGAUUGCGGGGGGCGGAUGAUGGCCUCCCGUGCGCCUCGCCGCGCGGUUGGCAUAAAUGCCAAGUCCUCGGCGACGCACGCCACGACAAUCGGUGGUUGCGAAACCUCGGUUGCCCGUCGUGUGCGGUCGUCGCGCAUCGAGGGCUCGAAAAAAUUGCCGAGUUCCGGCUCGGCUUUCAACGCGACCCCAGGUCAGGCGGGGUUACCCGCUGAAUUUAAGCAUAUCAAAAGCGGAGGA